GGACUACAAGGGUAUCUAAUCCUGUUUGCUCCCCACGCUUUCGCAUCUCAGCGUCAGUACCGGGCCAGUGAGCCGCCUUCGCCACUGGUGUUCUUGCGAAUAUCUACGAAUUUCACCUCUACACUCGCAGUUCCACUCACCUCUCCCGGACUCAAGGUCUCCAGUAUCAAAGGCAGUUCCAAGGUUGAGCCUUGGCAUUUCACCCCUGACUUAAAGACCCGCCUACAUGCGCUUUACGCCCAGUGAUUCCGAACAACGCUAGCCCCCUUCGUAUUACCGCGGCUGCUGGCAC
rnacentral:rRNA from 1 species